UACAGAGGUCCCAAGCGUUGUUCGGAUUCAUUGGGCGUAAAGGGUGCGUAGGUGGCGUGGUAAGUCGGGUGUGAAAUUUCGGAGCUUAACUCCGAAACUGCAUUCGAUACUGCCGUGCUUGAGGACUGGAGAGGAGACUGGAAUUUACGGUGUAGCAGUGAAAUGCGUAGAGAUCGUAAGGAAGACCAGUGGCGAAGGCGGGUCUCUGGACAGUUCCUGACACUGAGGCACGAAGGCCAGGGGAGCAAACGAG
rnacentral:rRNA from 1 species